rnacentral:rRNA from 1 species
UGGGGGAUAUUGCACAAUGGGCGAAAGCCUGAUGCAGCGACGCCGCGUGGGGGAUGAAGGCCUUCGGGUUGUAAACUUCUUUUGCUCUGAAUAAGGCAUGCUUUUGGGGUGUGUUGAGUGUAGGGGUUGAUUAGCGCCGGCUAACUACGUGCCAGCAGCCGCGGUAAUACGUAGUGCGCGAGCGUUGUCCGGAAUUAUUGGGCGUAAAGGGCUUGUAGGUGGCUGGUUGCGUCUGUCGUGAAAGCUCAUGGCUUAACUGUGGGUUUGCGGUGGGUACGGGCUGGCUUGAGUGGAGUAGGGGGGGCUGGUGUUCCUGGGGUAGCGGUAGAGUGCGCAGAUAUCAGGAGGAAUACCGGUGGCGAAGGCGAGUCUCGGGGCUGUUACUGACGCUGAGGAGCGAAAGCGUGGGGAGCGAACAGG